AUUGAACGCUGGCGGCAGGCCUAACACAUGCAAGUCGAGCGGACGAAGGGAGCUCGCUCCUGGCUUCAGCGGCGGACGGGCGAGUAAUGCCUAGGAAUAUGCCUGGUAGAUGGGGAUAACGUACGGAAACGGGCGCUAAUACAGCAUACGUCCUGAGGGAGAAAGUGGGGGUUCUUCGGACCUAACGCUAUCAGAUGAGCCUAGGUCGGAUUAGCUAGUGGGUGGGGUAAAGGCCUACCAAGGCGACGAUCCGUAACUGGUCUGAGGGGAGGAUCAGUCACACUGAAACUGGAACACGGUCCGGACUCCUAGGGGAGGCGGCAGUGGGAAUUUUUGGACAAUGGGCGAAAGCCGGAUCCGGCCAGGCCGCGGGUGUGAAGAAGGUCUUCGGAUGGUAAAGCACGUUAAGAUGGGAGAAAGGGCAGUAAGUUAAUACCUUGCUGUUUGGACGUGACCAACAGAAUAGGCACCGGCUAACUUCGU
rnacentral:rRNA from 1 species